GCAAGUCGAACGGAAACGAUGGGAGCUUGCUCCCAGGCGUCGAGUGGCGGACGGGUGCGUAACGCGUAGGAAUCUACCCAGUAGUUGGGGACAACUCGGAGAAAUCCGAGCUAAUACCGAAUACGGUCUACGGACUAAAGGGGGCCUCUUCUUGAAAGCUCUCGCUACUGGAUGAGCCUGCGUCAGAUUAGCUUGUUGGUGGGGUAAUGGCCUACCAAGGCGACGAUCUGUAGCUGGUCUGAGAGGAUGAUC
rnacentral:rRNA from 1 species